rnacentral:tRNA from 1 species
GCGUGGCUGCUGCAGAGCUUCGGACUUCUAAGCGACGGUCGCGGGUUCGAAUUCUGCCGGGCGCGCCA